rnacentral:rRNA from 1 species
UACGUAGGGUGCGAGCGUUAAUCGGGAUUACAGGGCGUAAAGCGUGCGCAGGCGGUUUUGUAAGACAGGUGUGAAAUCCCCGGGCUUAGCCUGGGAACUGCAUUUGUGACUGCAAGGCUAGAGUAUGGCAGAGGGGGGUAGAAUUCCACGUGCAGCAGUGAAAUGCGUAGAUAUGUGGAGGAAUACCGAUGGCGAAGGCAGCCCCCUGGGUCAAUACUGACGCUCAUGCACGAAAGCGUGGGGAGCAAACAGG